GACGUAGGGCGCGAGCGUUGUCCGGAUUAUUGGGCGUAAAGAGCGUGUAGGCGGCCUGACAGGUCUGCUGUGAAAACUCGAGGCUCAACCUCGAGAUGUCGGCGGAAACCGUCUGGCUAGAGUCCGGAAGAGGAGAGUGGAAUUCCUGGUGUAAGCGGUGAAAUGCGCAGAUAUCAGGAAGAACACCCGUGGCGAAGGCGGUCUCGUGGGCCUGACCUGACGCUGAGGAGCGAAAGC
rnacentral:rRNA from 1 species